rnacentral:tRNA from 1 species
ACCUGGCUGGCUCAGUUGGUAGAGCGUGUGACUCUUAUCUCAGGGUUGUGGGUUCAAGCCCCAUUUGGGUG